rnacentral:rRNA from 1 species
AUUGAACGCUGGCGGCAUGCUUUACACAUGCAAGUCGAACGGUAACAGGUCUUCGGAUGCUGACGAGUGGCGAACGGGUGAGUAAUGUAUCGGAACGUGCCCAGUAGUGGGGGAUAACUACUCGAAAGAGUGGCUAAUACCGCAUGAGAACUGAGGUUGAAAGCGGGGGGACCUUCGGGCCUCGCGCUACUGGAGCGGCCGAUGUCAGAUUAGCUAGUUGGUGGGUAAAGGCCCACCAAGGCGACGAUCUGUAGCGGGUCUGAGAGGAUGAUCCGCCACACUGGGACUGAGACACGGCCCAGACUCCUACGGGAGGCAGCAGUGGGGAAUUUUGGACAAUGGGCGCAAGCCUGAUCCAGCCAUGCCGCGUGCGGGACGAAGGCCUCGGUUGUAAC